rnacentral:rRNA from 1 species
AGUGAACGCUGGCGGUAGGCCUAACACGUGCAAGUCGAACGGCAGCACAGUAAGAGCUUGCUCUUACGGGUGGCGAGUGGCGGACGGGUGAGGAAUACAUCGGAAUCUACUUUUUCGUGGGGGAUAACGUAGGGAAACUUACGCUAAUACCGCAUACGACCUACGGGUGAAAGCAGGGGAUCUUCGGACCUUGCGCGAUUGAAUGAGCCGAUGUCGGAUUAGCUAGUUGGCGGGGUAAAGGCCCACCAAGGCGACGAUCCGUAGCUGGUCUGAGAGGAUGAUCAGCCCAACGGGAACGGGGACCCGGUCCAGACCCCUACGGGAGGCAGCAGUGGGGAAUAUUGGACAAUGGGCGAAAGCCUGAUCCAGCCAUACCGCGGGGGUGAAGAAGGCCUUCGGGUUGUAAAGCCCUUUUGUUGGGAAAAAAAAGCAGCAGGUUAAUACCCCGCUGUUCUGACGGUACCAAAAGAAUAAGCACCGGCUAACUUCGU